rnacentral:tRNA from 1 species
CGGGGUGUGGCGCAGUCCGGUUAGCGUGCCUGCUUUGGGAGCAGGAGGUCGCGGGUUCGAAUCCCGCCACCCCGA